UCCUAGCAAGUACACUCGCACCGAGCCUUUUUCUCUUUGGCUUGGUAGUUUUUUUCACCUUGCGAAAUAGAACUACCACAAAAUUCCAUGUUUCAUUAGCCAGGGUUUCAUGGACUGUACUGGGAAACAAGCAUUUUUCUUGCGCAGGUAUCUCCAACACGGAUAUAUCAAUGAAUUGUUGGUCGUGUUGCGCAUAUACUAACAAUUCAUUCUUGCAUAGUUGGAUUUUCGUAACUUUGUAUAAUCCUGGAAAGAAUGAAGACAAAAG
rnacentral:snRNA from 1 species